UGCGUAGGCGGAAUAUUAAGUCAGUGGUGAAAUCCCAGAGCUCAACUCUGGAACUGCCAUUGAAACUGGUAUUCUUGAAUAUAGUUGAGGUAGGCGGAAUGUGUAAUGUAGCGGUGAAAUGCUUAGAUAUUACACAGAACACCGAUUGCGAAGGCAGCUUACUAAGCUAUGAUUGACGCUGAGGUACGAAAGCGUGGGGAGCGAACAGGAUUAGAUACCCUGGUAGUCC
rnacentral:rRNA from 1 species